AGUUUCUUGGGAAUCAUUCCAGAUAUUUUUGUAAGUAUGUGUAAAAAUAAACAUGAUUUGGACCUUAAAUAAUGUUUGCAACCUUCUUUUUAUUAUUUUUCAUCCAGCAGUGUACCUUACAGUGCUAUUCACAGCAGCAAAUGCAGAUCCUCCUCUUUAUCAUUCCACCAUAUGGAAAUGCUAUCACUAAUUUCAAGUCUGCAGUCAGUGGUACGAAGCAAUCAGCAAUCGCACAACAAAGGACCGGCACCUGACCGCUUCACCGUGCGAGUCUCCAGCCGCCCAGCUCUAGGCAGGUGGAGCCUGGGGGGCCAGGAGCGCGCCUGGCCCAGAGGCGCGCGCACCCAGGAGCGCCCCGGCUGGCGGCUGUCUGGGCUGAGGAUCUGAGCGCGCCCCGAAUCCUCUCUUGAAUGAUGUCCCAGACCCGAAGAGGUGAAGCGUCAGCGCCGAGAGAUUCGCCUGCCCAUUGUCAUUAGGAACAGAGAAGGUCUGAGAUCUAGACUCAGACUCUUGGUGAUCCCGUAUUGACCAAAGCUGGGGAAUCCAGUCGGAGGCAGGCGUGUUUUCCCCGGAAGGCUGACUGAGCAGUUCUCCAGACAUUUGCAACUACAGGACGGAAUUCCAUCCACCCUCAACGCUUCCAGCCAAGACUCAGCAUUAACAAAGCCAGAAGUUUCAUUUCUUUGACCGUGGGAGUGCUUCUGUCAUCUUUUAAACAACCAUUCAGUUUUAUGUUCAGUAAACACUUUGAUUGAGAAAUAGUUUCACUGAGGGGUGAAAAGUUCUUCACUUUUAAUGACAAAUGAGCAGUGCGGUAGCUCAAGUUCCAGUAUUGACACCACAUUCUCACCUGCCAAAGAUGUCAGCAUUGAAGAUGUAGCUGUGUCUUUGUUCCUCACCCUCAAGAAGUUGGGUGGAACCCAACCUGAGUGUAAUAGAAGAAACAAAGUUCAGAAACAGAGGACAUGGAUUUGAAUCCCAGGUCUGUCACUCACCUGCUAUAGACUUCAAGCAAAACCUCUCAGAGGCUAUUUCUUCAUCUGCAGAAUGGGAGUAAGAGCUACUUCAAAGGGCCUUAAAGUUGAACCUACCGAAGUCAAUGAAUGGGAAAAUACUCUGUAAGCUUAAAGCACUAUACAAAUAA